rnacentral:rRNA from 16 species
UCUAACAUGUUAAAGGUAGUUUUCAGGAUGAAGGGCUACUGUUCACUCCGCUGUCUACAAGUAUUCUUUUGGUCGUCAAAUCAUACUGUCGAUGAAGGAAUACAAUCAUGGCACUUCAGCUUUGUACAUAUAUUUAAUUCUUAUC